rnacentral:rRNA from 1 species
AUUGAACGCUGGCGGCAGGCCUAACACAUGCAAGUCGAGCGGUAGCACAGAGAGCUUGCUCUCGGGUGACGAGCGGCGGACGGGUGAGUAAUGUCUGGGAAACUGCCUGAUGGAGGGGGAUAACUACUGGAAACGGUAGCUAAUACCGCAUAACGUCGCAAGACCAAAGAGGGGGACCUUCGGGCCUCUUGCCAUCAGAUGUGCCCAGACGGGAUUAGCUAGUAGGUGGGGUAACGGCUCACCUAGGCGACGAUCCCUAGCUGGUCUGAGAGGAUGACCAGCCACACGGGAACUGAGACACGGUCCAGACUCCUACGGGAGGCAGCAGUGGGGAAUAUUGCACAAUGGGCGCAAGCCUGAUGCAGCCAUGCCGCGUGUAUGAAGAAGGCCUUCGGGUUGUAAAGUACUUUCAGCGGGGAGGAAGGUGUUGAGGUUAAUAACCUCAGCAAUUGACGUUACCCGCAGAAGAAGCACCGGCUAACUCCGUGCCAGCCGCCGCCGUAA